ACGGGUGAGUAACACGUGGGUAACCUGCCCAUAAGUGGGGGACAACAGUCGGAAACGAUUGCUAAUACCGCAUAUACGAGAAACCACAUGGUUUCUUUGUAAAAGGUGGCUUUUAUGCUACCGCUUAUGGAUGGACCCGCGGCGUAUUAGCUAGUUGGUGAGGUAACGGCUCACCAAGGCGAUGAUACGUAGCCGACCUGAGAGGGUGAUCGGCCACACUGGGACUGAGACACGGCCCAGACUCCUACGGGAGGCAGCAGUAGGGAAUCUUCCGCAAUGGACGAAAGUCUGACGGAGCAACGCCGCGUGAGUGAAGAAGGUUUUCGGAUCGUAAAACUCUGUUGUUAGAGAAGAACAAGUAGGAGAGUAACUGCUCCUGCCUUGACGGUAUCUAACCAGAAAGCCACGGCUAACUACGUGCCAGCAGCCGCGGUAAUACGUAGGUGGCAAGCGUUGUCCGGAUUUAUUGGGCGUAAAGCGAGCGCAGGCGGUUUCUUAAGUCUGAUGUGAAAGCCCCCGGCUUAACCGGGGAGGGUCAUUGGAAACUGGGAGACUUGAGUGCAGAAGAGG
rnacentral:rRNA from 1 species